rnacentral:rRNA from 1 species
GAUGAACGCUGGCGGCGUGCUUAACACAUGCAAGUCGAACGGAAAGGCCCUGCUUUUGUGGGGUGCUCGAGUGGCGAACGGGUGAGUAACACGUGAGUAACCUGCCCUUGACUUUGGGAUAACUUCAGGAAACUGGGGCUAAUACCGGGUAGGAGCUCCUGCUGCAUGGUGGGGGUUGGAAAGUUUCGGCGGUUGGGGAUGGACUCGCGGCUUAUCAGCUUGUUGGUUGGGUAGUGGCUUACCAAGGCUUUGACGGGUAGCCGGCCUGAGAGGGUGACCGGCCACACUGGGACUGAGAUACGGCCCAGACUCCUACGGGAGGCAGCAGUGGGGAAUAUUGCACAAGGGGCGGAAGCCUGAUGCAGCAACGCCGCGUGCGGGAUGACGUCCUUCGGGUUGUAAACCGCUUUCGCCUGUGACGAAGCGUGAGUGACGGUAACGGGUAAAGAAGCACCGGCUAACUACGUG